AAAACCUUCACUGAAAAUUCCUUAAGUUGAAAUACUCUAAGUAAUACAACUGAGUCAAUGUAAAAAGAUAACUCAAAAAAUUAAGUUGAGAGAACAAAUCUGUAUUUAUCUGUCUGUAUGUGUCUGUAUUUAGAUUGCAUAAAAUAUAAAUAGAUAUUUUCAGGAAUUUACUGUUUUUUCCAGACAAUACUAUGGCAGAGUCAAAUAUUGUGAUGUACUCAGAAGUCAGAACUAAAGUAAAGAAAUUCAAAAGCAAAGAUAUUAAUACUGCAGGACCCAGUGAUUUGACUUACGCACAGAUCAAUAUACAGGACAAAAAGAAAAGCAAGGGCAAAGGCGCUGGACUUGCUGAUGUUCUGAUUAAAAUGAAAUCUAAGG